rnacentral:rRNA from 1 species
AGUAUAACAGGAAGAAGCUACGGCUAAAAAAUACCAGCAGCCGAGGUAAUACGUAGGGUGCAAGCGUUGCUCGGAAUUACUGGGGGUAAAGGGUGCGCCGGCGGCUUUGUAAAACAGAUGUGAAAUCCCCGGGCUUAACCUGGGAAAUGCGUUUGAAACUACAAAGCUAGAGUGUAGCAGAGGGGAGUGGAAUUCCAUGUGUAGCAGUGAAAUGCGUAGAGAUAUGGAAGAACAUCGAUGGCGAAGGCAGCUCCCCGCGUUAACAAUGACGUUCAUGCCCGAAAGGUGGGGAGCCAACAGGAUUCGAUACCGUGGUUGUCCACGCCCUAAACGAUGUCACAAAGA